rnacentral:rRNA from 1 species
AUCAAGGAGAAGAUCGAAGAACACCUGGAAAAAGCUGGUAAUAAAGGUUGCCCGGUUGAACCCUUGGAAGUACUCCGCAGCAUCUUGCGGGUGCUGCCCCGGGACACCAACGCCGGCGAGUAUCAAAAGCAAACCCAGGAAAAGAUCCUUGACGAGAUAGUAGACAAGAUGAAGAAGUAUCUGAUGGUCGAAUCAGCGGGUGAAAAGGCCAGCUCCUGCAGGAUUAGUGUCGAGCAUCCCCAAUUCAUAGACAUCCUGCGGAAGCUGCUUCCCAAGAAGGCCACCACACCAGGGAUGGCAGCCACAACUAAACCGGUUGAUGAUCACAUCGUGAAGAAUAUCAAAGACAUCACGCUUAAGAUUCAAGUGCAGAUCACGCCCAAGCUGCUGCCAGUGUCGCUUCACCAGCAAGAUAAAUCAGUGGAUGAAACAAGCAAAGACAAGCUGUCGCAGGAGGAGUACUGCAGGGAGAGGAUUGAACAAGUCCUGAGGAGGAUGAAAGAGCAUCUGUUGAUUCAAGAAACCAUGGGGAGAGUUAGAGAGCACCUGCAGGGUACAAGGACACUGGUCGUUCUCCAUAAUGCGUCUGGCUACAAAUGGGACGAGACCACAAAGGCCUUGCAAGAUGUGGGUUGCAGUUCAAUGAAAGUGGUAGUUACCACAAAAUACAUGAAGAGGGCCAACGAGUUUUGCUAUAGGGAAGAACCCAUUGUAUACUCUUCCAUUGAAUAUUACCGCCAUAUAGCGCUCCAACUUACAAAUCGGCAUGUCAAUGAUGACGAGAAGUACAACGCCGAAAUCUUCCAUGAGAUCUUGGAGAAAUGUAGGGUGGAGGUGGAGGUAGAGCAGUUCUGCAUAAAGAUGUUCAUCCGUGCUCUGUUUGCCAAUCCAAUGAUUAGCAAAGAGGAACUUGACAAGUUGAGCAAUAGCCUUGUGUUUGGAGGAUCCGUGGAGACUAAUGGAUACAAGAUGAUCAAGUUCUCCUAUGACGAUCUUCCUAGGGAAUACAAGACUUGAUUGUUGUAUCUAGCCAUCUUCCAUAAAGAUGAGAAGAUAAACCGGAGAAGGUUAAUCGGGCGGUGGGUUGCGGAAGGACUGAUAACUAGAAAAGACUGGCCUAGUUCAGUAUGUCAGGCCGUGCAUUGUUUUGAGGUACUUGCUGACUUAUGGCUUGUCUGUCCUCAUGGCAUUGGUGUUGUAGGGAAGGUCAAGAGCAUUAUGGUGCAUGCACAAGUGUACAACUUCAUCACCAAGAUGGCCAGGUAAGAACAUAUUCUGGACACACGCCUGUCUCAGCACCUGGCUCGCCACUUCUCCGUUCUCAGCAACAUCAGGCUCUGUUCCUCGGAUAGCAUCCUCGACUUCUUGCAACAACCAUCACGUGCAUCAUCUCAGUUAAAUCUCGUCAAGGUCCUGGAUCUGGAGGGUUGUUCAUCCCUGAGAGAUAACCAACACUGGCUUAGGAACGUGUGCACCUCGUUGAUACUUCUCAAGUAUCUGAGCUUAAGGAACACAUAUGUUACUCAGCUACCUAAGGAGAUCAACAGACUCCGGCAGCUGGAGGUGCUGGACAUCCGGCACACUCCUAUGAAGGACUCUGCCAUAAAACACCUCAUGCUACUGAAGUUGAAGCGUCUACUGGCUGGUGGUGGUGAUGCUAGCACAGUUUCCACUGUCAAGAAGAUGCCUCACAUGGUGAGAAAAAUGACGGAUCUGGAAGUGCUAUCCCAGGUACAGGCUUCGAAACAUCAUGCUACUCAGCUGAGAGAGAUUGGCCAGCUAUGGCAGCUAAGGGUGCUUGGUGUUGUCAUUUAUGACCGGAAAGCUCAACUUGAGAACCUACUCCAAGGGAUCAGUGCUCUGAAUGAGUGCCUUCAGUCUCUAUCAAUCGAGAUCAAGCCUCUGCCUAUCACUGCCAGGGAGGCUGCUACUCCUCCAUCCGAUGCUAUUAGUGCCCACUUCAAAAACACACCCAAGCUUCUUGAAAGCCUGAGCAUCAGUGGAGUCACAAUGUACGGGCGUCUUCUCCAAUUGUUUGCUAGAGACUGCUGCAAACUUGCCAAGGUAACUCUCCAUAACACAUUGUUGGAUCGGGAUGAUAUGGGAUCCCUCGCAGCUUUGCCCAACCUACGUGGCCUCCAUCUCUGCCAUGUUAAUUUACACACUGGGGGCAAGCUUAUAAUCCAGACCAAUGGGUUCCAGAAUCUCAAGUAUCUUGCUGUUGAUGGGGGUGGCAUCACUGACAUCCACUUCGAACUUGGAGUAGCGCCUAAGCUUGAAAAACUCAUCUGGCAUGUCGACCAGGUAGAGUCUCUCUCGAGAAUCAACAACCUUCCCAAGUUGAAAGAAAUAAUGUUCAAUGAUGGUGUCAUGCUACCAGAUCAGGUGAAACUAGCCAUAGAAGAUCAUCCAAACUUCAUUGAUGAUAACAUUUUACCUUACAGGGUGGCCCAUCUAUUCAGCAGGAUUGCUUCGUCUAUUCACGUAUGCUUUACUAUUAUUCUGCUUGUUUGUGAACUAGAUUACACUCAUAUAUGGGUUUAUAUUCAACUGUGA